UACGAAGGGGGCUAGCGUUGUUCGGAAUUACUGGGCGUAAAGCGUGCGCAGGCGGCUUCUCAAGUCAGGGGUGAAAGCCCAGGGCUCAACUCUGGAAUUGCCUUUGAGACUGAGUGGCUUGAGUACGGGAGAGGUGAGUGGAAUUCCCAGUGCAGAGGUGAAAUUCGUAGAUAUUGGGAAGAACACCGGUGGCGAAGGCGGCUCACUGGCUCGUAACUGACGCUCAGGCACGACAGCGUGGGGAUCAAACAGG
rnacentral:rRNA from 1 species